rnacentral:rRNA from 1 species
AUUAAACAUAUAUUUAAAGUACAGGAGAUGGAAAAUUUUAAGUAAACCUAUAAAGGUUAUGGAGAUAAUAGCCUAAACAUUAUUCUUCUUGGUUACGAUGCAAGUAAUCUCGAUAUGAGGGGAUUUUUUGUUGUUUAUACUUAUACUAAAGUAAUAAUUCAAUAUUGUUUUUAUAUCAUUCAACAAACGUUGCUAUAUACUAAUCACCUUUCAUGUUAUCUAGAAAAUAGAACACCUCUAGAAGGGUCAGCUUUCUAAAACUUGUACUUAUAACUUGUUAAAAUGUUUAAUUAGAUUUACUCAUGUUAUUUAAGUAUAAAUUUUCCUAUUCUUACUCUUAGCUUACGCUUGCAAUCAUUACAUAUAACUCAAUAACUUAAUGAAACAACUCAAUAAAAUUGUUAGGUGUUUACUAAAUACGCUCUUAUUAGAUACAUAUUAAUAAGUUGAUCUCUUUAAACCAUUAAAUCAACCUUAGCAAACCUUAUUUCUGCCACAUGUAAUUUAUUACAACUACCAUUAAUAAAGGUACCCUUUAUAAAUAAUUUUAUGUUUCUAUUAUUUACAAAUGAAAAUUCAUUUUUCAGUCAAAAAUCUGAACUAUUAAGAGAAGAAGAAAAGACCCCGGGUAGUUCAGUACUAUUAAUGUCUAAUUUCUAUUAUACAUUGAGGAUACUUUUUCUGGGGUGGGUACCUUUCUUUAUUUAGCAUAGGUUAUUAUUAUAAACAAUUAAUUUGUAAAAAUUUAUCCAUAAAGCGCUUUAUAUUGACUUUAUGAACUAUACCAAACUAACCCCGGGGUUAACAGCGCAAUCACCAAUGGCAGACCUUAUGCAAUUGGUGUUUUACGACCUCGAUGUCGACUUAAGGAAACUAGUUCUUGCAGUGAAGAAGCUAAGUACGUAUGUUCGCCGUUUAAAUCCUUACGUGAGUUGGGUUAAGGUCGGUGAGAAUUAGACCGGAUUUUAUCUCUCAUUUAAUAUUUUUGUUAGUACGAAAGGAAAGC